UACGGGGGGGGCGAGCGUUGUUCGGAAUCACUGGGCGUAAAGGGCGCGUAGGCGGCCCGCACAAGUCUGCGGUGAAAACCCCCGGCUUAACCGGGGGCCGGCCGUGGAAACUGUCGGGCUGGAGGCUGGGAGAGGGCAGCGGAAUUCCCGGUGUAGCGGUGAAAUGCGUAGAGAUCGGGAGGAACACCGGCGGCGAAAGCGGCUUCCUGGUCCAGCACCGACGUUCAGGCACGAAAGCGUGGGGAGCAAACAGG
rnacentral:rRNA from 1 species